rnacentral:rRNA from 1 species
GAUUAAGUUAUUAAGGGCGCACGGUGGAUGCCUUGGCACUAGAAGCCGAUGAAGGACGUUACUAACGACGAUAUGCUUUGGGGAGCUGUAAGUAAGCUUUGAUCCAGAGAUUUCCGAAUGGGGAAACCCAGCAUGAGUUAUGUCAUGUUAUCGAUAUGUGAAUACAUAGCAUAUCAGAAGGCACACCCGGAGAACUGAAACAUCUUAGUACCCGGAGGAAGAGAAAGAAAAUUCGAUUCCCUUAGUAGCGGCGAGCGAAACGGGAAGAGCCCAAACCAACAAGCUUGCUUGUUGGGGUUGUAGGACACUCUAUACGGAGUUACAAAGGACGACAUUAGACGAAUCAUCUGGAAAGAUGAAUCAAAGAAGGUAAUAAUCCUGUAGUCGAAAAUGUUGUCUCUCUUGAGUGGAUCCUGAGUACGACGGAGCACGUGAAAUUCCGUCGGAAUCUGGGAGGACCAUCUCCUAAGGCUAAAUACUCUCUAGUGACCGAUAGUGAACCAGUACCGUGAGGGAAAGGUGAAAAGCACCCCGGAAGGGGAGUGAAAUAGAACCUGAAACCGUGUGCUUACAAGUAGUCAGAGCCCGUUAAUGGGUGAUGGCGUGCCUUUUGUAGAAUGAACCGGCGAGUUACGAUUUGAUGCAAGGUUAAGCAGUAAAUGUGGAGCCGUAGCGAAAGCGAGUCUGAAUAGGGCGUUUAGUAUUUGGUCGUAGACCCGAAACCAGGUGAUCUACCCUUGGUCAGGUUGAAGUUCAGGUAACACUGAAUGGAGGACCGAACCGACUUACGUUGAAAAGUGAGCGGAUGAACUGAGGGUAGCGGAGAAAUUCCAAUCGAACCUGGAGAUAGCUGGUUCUCUCCGAAAUAGCUUUAGGGCUAGCCUCAAGUGAUGAUUAUUGGAGGUAGAGCACUGUUUGGACGAGGGGCCCCUCUCGGGUUACCGAAUUCAGACAAACUCCGAAUGCCAAUUAAUUUAACUUGGGAGUCAGAACAUGGGUGAUAAGGUCCGUGUUCGAAAGGGAAACAGCCCAGACCACCAGCUAAGGUCCCAAAAUAUAUGUUAAGUGGAAAAGGAUGUGGCGUUGCCCAGACAACUAGGAUGUUGGCUUAGAAGCAGCCAUCAUUUAAAGAGUGCGUAAUAGCUCACUAGUCGAGU